UACUUGAAACAAAAAAAUGAUAACUACCAAUAAAUGUUGGAGGAAAAUUUAUUGAAUGUUGAAACAAACCCAAAUCGAGGUAACCUCAACCACUAACCAGAAAUAAGAAUCAAAGUCAAGAAAG